UGCAGUCGAACGGUAACAGGGUGCUUGCACCGCUGACGAGUGGCGAACGGGUGAGUAAUGCGUCGGAACGUGCCGAGUAGUGGGGGAUAACGCAGCGAAAGUUGUGCUAAUACCGCAUACGUACUGAGGUAGAAAGUGGGGGACCUUCGGGCCUCACGCUAUUCGAGCGGCCGACGUCUGAUUAGCUAGUAGGUGAGGUAAAGGCUCACCUAGGCGACGAUCAGUAGCGGGUCUGAGAGGAUGAUCCGCCACACUGGGACUGAGACACGGCCCAGACUCCUACGGGAGGCAGCAGUGGGGAAUUUUGGACAAUGGGCGAAAGCCUGAUCCAGCCAUGCCGCGUGUCUGAAGAAGGCCUUCGGGUUGUAAAGGACUUUUGUCAGGGAGGAAAUCCCUAGCGUUAAUACCGCUGGGGGAUGACAGUACCUGAAGAAUAAGCACCGGCUAACUACGUGCC
rnacentral:rRNA from 1 species